GAAUGUUUGCUAGUUGUGCUUAAAUGAAGCUUAUUAUAUAAUAGUAUAUGAUUUGCUAUCUAAAGUGAUCCAAAGGCCAUAAGUUAUCUGGUCAGCUUUUAUUUGAAGUCAAGGGCUGUGAUUAAUUCUUUGAUUAGAUAGCUUUUGUGUGGCUGUAAGAAGCUGGUGCGUUCUCUCUCUAACGGCUUCAUAGUUUAGAGAUACAUUUGUAGAUCAGGUAUGCAUCUGUUAGAGAAAACACAAAAACUGAACAGAAAAACUAUCAGAGUGCUUAAAGAUGAAGACACAUUGUGAGCUCCAGAGAAAAAUCAGGGUGACAUAGCAGUGCGCAAGGAAAAAUCAAGAAAGAUUGAGUGGGUCUGUGCUUCAUUAACAAUCUGAGAUAACCUGUGAUGUUCAUCUAUUGAAGACCAAAGAGUGAGCCUGAUUGCAGACGAAUUUAGAGCAACCAUGAAGACCCAUUUUGGCCGAAGUCCUGUUGAAGAAAAAUAGGUGACACUCUAUUGAAGAACCCAUCACCGGAGAGCUACAACGACCACACCGAAGAGCUACAACGACCAUACCUGCUUGAAGACUUCAUUACAGCGAGCUGAAAUCUCUAUCGGUGAGAAGACCUCAUUCCAGUGAUAUUCAUUCUCAGUCCAGUGAGCUCAAAUAGCAGUAUACCAGGACGGCAAAAAUCUCUAAGCUUGUAUCCAAGCUUCGGUGCAGUUUCAUCCUACAGAAAUAUUUCAAGCGAGCUUCAGUCCAGUUCCGUUCAAACAAACACCAUCUCCGGUUGAAGCUUUGAAGUUGAUAAGAUCAAAUCCAGAAGCGGAGUGCAAUGUUUAUCAUAGCGAAGGUCUACUUGUGUCAGGUUUCACCACCUGUAGAAAAGGUCUUAAAUCAUGGCAGAUGAAGGUCAGGCUAUUAACAAAGCUCCAGGAUUUGAUGGGACAGACUAUGACUCAUGGAAGAUUAGGAUGAAGGCAUUUUUAAUGUUUCAAGCCUAUGAGGUUUGGCAAGCUGCUACAAUAGGAAUUGUUGUACUCGAUCCUAAUAACCCCUCAACCGCAGAUAGAACAGCUUUGUCAAAUGAUGGCAGAGUGAAACAUGAUCUGUAUUACGCAUUGAAGCAACAGGAGUUCACCAGAGUGAAAAAUUGUAAAACUGCAAAAGAAAUAUGGGAUUCUUUAAAAGCUGCUCAUGAGGGAAACAAUAUUAUUAAGGAGAACAAGAUUUAGCUUCUUAAGGUUCAAUACGAAGGAUGCAAAAUGGAAGAGAAGGCGAAUGUAGCGGAAUACAUGUUUAGAAUUAAUAAAAUUGUCAACAACAUAAGAGCUCUUGGUGAAGACAUGAAGGGCUCAGAAGUGUGCAAAAAAAAUACUCAGGUCACUAACACCUAGAUUCAAUCCAAAAGUGACUUUUCUUGAUGAUAAGGAAAUAUCCAAAAUGACUAUUGAUGAUUUGCAAGCCUUUUUGACUGCAUAUGAGAUGAGGAUUAGUGUUCAGACUCAAUAUAGAAGAGAAACUGCUGUAAAGGCUAAGGAAACUGUGGAAGAAGAAGUUCAAAAAUCUGAUGGUGACUUAUCUGAUGAUGAAGUAGCUUAUCUAGCUAAGAAAUUCAAGAAGUUCAGGUUCAAGAAAAGAAGACAAUCACAGGGUCAGACUUGUUUUGGAUGUGGAAAAUCUGGUCACUUUAUUACAAGUUAUCCAAGUAACACAAGGGCUCAAACUUAUAGAAAACCAGAGAAUUUCAACAACAAAAAUAAAGGUAGAAGAAGGCUUUCCUCACUGGUUGGGAAUCAAGCUCUGAAGAAGAAAAAGAAAAAAUAAUUUCAGGGGAUGAAGGAACCUGUCUAUUCAGGGCUAUUCAUGAGUCUCUGUAAUACCCCUAAUUUUAAAAGGGACAGUCCUGAAAUUUAAUAAAUUGUUUAAAUAGUAUUUUUAUUUAAUUAAUUGUUUAAAUUGUAUUUUAUGUAAUCAAUUGGUUAAAUUGCAUUUGUUUAUUUC